AUGAACGCUGGCGGUAUGCCUAACACAUGCAAGUCGUACGAGAGUUUUUAACUCAAGUGGCGGACGGGUGAGUAACACGUGAGAAUUUGCCUUUAGGAGGGGGAUAACAGAGUGAAAACGCUGCUAAUACCCCAUAUGCUUUCGAGUGAAAUGGAUUUAUUCGCCUAAAGAGAAGCUCGCGGCUGAUUAGCUUGUUGGUAAGGUAAUGGCUUACCAAGGCGACGAUCAGUAUCUGGUUUGAGAGGACGAUCAGACACACUGGAACUGAGACACGGUCCAGACUCCUACGGGAGGCAGCAGUGGGGAAUUUUCCGCAAUGGGCGAAAGCCUGACGGAGCAAUACCGCGUGAGGGAAGACGGCCUAUGGGUUGUAAACCUCUUUUCUCAGGGAGGAAAUCAAUGACGUUACCUGAGGAAUAAGCAUCGGCUAACUCCGUGCCAGCAGCCGCGGUAAGACGGAGGAUGCAAGUGUUAUCCGGAAUCACUGGGCGUAAAGCGUCUGUAGGUGGCUUAACAAGUCAACUGUUAAAUCUUGAAGCUCAACUUCGAAAUCGCAGUCGAAACUGUUAGGCUAGAGUAUAGUAGGGGUAAAGGGAAUUUCCAGUGGAGCGGUGAAAUGCGUAGAGAUUGGAAAGAACACCGAUGGCGAAGGCACUUUACUGGGCUAUUACUGACACUCAGAGACGAAAGCUAGGGUAGCAAAUGGGAUUAGAUACCCCAGUAGUCCUAGCCGUAAACAAUGGAUACUAGAUGUUGGGCAGAUCGACCUGUUCAGUAUUAAAGCUAACGCGUUAAGUAUCCCGCCUGGGAAGUAUGCGCGCAAGCGUGAAACUCAAAGGAAUUGACGGGGGCCCGCACAAGCGGUGGAGCAUGUGGUUUAAUUCGAUGCAACGCGAAGAACCUUACCAGGGUUUGACAUGAUACGAAUUUUUUUGAAAGAAAAAAGUGCCGUUUGGAACGUAUACACAGGUGGUGCAUGGCUGUCGUCAGCUCGUGUCGUGAGAUGUUGGGUUAAGUCCCGCAACGAGCGCAACCCUUAUUUUUAGUUGCCUUUUAGGAACUCUAGAAAGACUGCUGGUUAUAAACCGGAGGAAGGCGGGGAUGACGUCAAGUCAGCAUGCCCCUUACACCCUGGGCUACACACGUGCUACAAUGGGUGAGACAAUGAGAUGCAAAUCCGCGAGGACAAGCUAAUCUAUAAACUCAUUCUAAGUUCGGAUUGU
rnacentral:rRNA from 1 species